UACGGAGGGUGCAAGCGUUAAUCGGAAUUACUGGGCGUAAAGGGUGCGUAGGUGGUUUGGUAAGUUAUCUGUGAAAUCCCCGGGCUCAACCUGGGCAGGUCAGAUAAUACUGCUGAACUCGAGUAUGGGAGAGGGGAGUGGAAUUUCCGGUGUAGCGGUGAAAUGCGUAGAUAUCAAGAGGAACACCUGAGGUGAAGACGGGUUGCUGGGCCAACACUGACGCUGAGGCGCGAAAGCCAGGGGAGCAAACGGG
rnacentral:rRNA from 1 species